GGGGCCGUAGCUCAACUGGAUAGAGCGAGAGUUUCCUAAACUCUAGGUUGGCGGUUCAAGUCCGCCCGGUCCCGCCA
rnacentral:tRNA from 1 species